CCUACGGGUGGCAGCAGUGAGGAAUAUUGGUCAAUGGGCGAGAGCCUGAACCAGCCAAGUCGCGUGAGGGAAGACGGUCCUAUGGAUUGUAAACCUCUUUUGUCGGGGAGCAAAAAGGCCUCGUGAGGCCACAAGUGAGAGUACCCGAAGAAAAAGCAUCGGCUAACUCCGUGCCAGCAGCCGCGGUAAUACGGAGGAUGCAAGCGUUAUUCGGAUUUAUUGGGUUUAAAGGGUGCGUAGGCGGCCUUUUAAGUCAGCGGUGAAAGUCUGUGGCUCAACCAUAGAAUUGCCGUUGAAACUGGGAGGCUUGAGUAUGUUUGAGGCAGGCGGAAUGCGUGGUGUAGCGGUGAAAUGCUUAGAUAUCACGCAGAACCCCGAUUGCGAAGGCAGCCUGCCAAGCCAUGACUGACGCUGAUGCACGAAAGCGUGGGGAUCAAACAGGAUUAGAUACCCUAGUAGUC
rnacentral:rRNA from 1 species